AGCUGCAUUAGGAGUUUUCCAUCUUGAGCCCGUUCAGGAUCGUAUAAGCUUCUUCUCCUCCAGGAAUCUCUUCCCUACUCUAUCUUCCUUCUAUAUAGAGUUUAUGUGCAAAAUUCCUGACCUGUUGGAUGUCAAACAAGCUGUUUGUAGCAUGGAUCCUCACAAAGCUCUGGCUUCAGAUGGUCUGUCUCCCAUUUUCUUUUAGAAGUUUUGGGGCAAAGUGUCCAGUCAGAUUCUUAAAUUGGUAAGGGGCGCCUGGUCGAGUGGGAGUUUUCUUCCAAACUUUAAUACAACCAACUUGGUGCUUAUUCCCAAGGCAGAGGCCCCUGAGACG
rnacentral:misc_RNA from 1 species